GACGAACCGUGCGAACGUUGUUCGGAAUCACUGGGCUUAAAGGGCGCGUAGGCGGGCUGCCAAGUCUGGGGUGAAAUGCCGCGGCUCAACCGUGGAACUGCCUUAGAUACUGUCGGCCUCGAGGAAGGUAGGGGCAUGCGGAACUGUAGGUGGAGCGGUGAAAUGCGUUGAUAUCUACAGGAACUCCGGUGGCGAAAGCGGCGUGCUGGACCUUUUCUGACGCUGAGGCGCGAAAGCUAGGGGAGCAAACAGG
rnacentral:rRNA from 1 species